GCUGAGUCCUCAAGUCAGUCUUCUGGAGAGAUGUCGCAGUCUCCGGGGAUGGCCUGCCUUUGUGUCCCUGCUGUACCCCAACACUGGCUACAGGAGCCUUGGCACAGAUGUGGUGAUAGAUUUGAUGGCAGCUGGGGUCCUUGGACAAUUAAGCUCCCUGUAUUGGAGGGUCUUCAAGACACUUUCCCAGGGCUGUCACAGUCCCCCAUCAUUUCCCCUUGAUCACCCCAUUCUCCACCGGCAGGAACUUCUCCACUCUCUGCCCGAUUCAGUGUCUGAGGCCAAGUCUUCCAUCUUGCAAUGUGCUCUUGGUGCCCAUCAACUUUCCAACGUCUAUGUGGCUGGCUUUUCCUUCAAUUGUUUCAUGUGCCCUUACCACCUGCUCAGACCUUUCACUCUUCAGCUCAUCCAGCUACUCCUCACCUGGCUGGAUCCAAUCAUUCCUGGAGGUCUCAAUUCUCUUUGGAGUCUGCAGUCCAUCAUCAUGAAACCUAGUUCACCAGUGCUGGGCAGAAACUCCCUCUUCUACCCGUCUACUCCAGCGAGUGGGUGUUCUUCAUUCACCAUGUUUAUAUUUUCACAUGGACACUUCUCAUUCUCAUCUCAUCCCACCUUAGCUGGGGUUCCC
rnacentral:lncRNA from 1 species